rnacentral:rRNA from 1 species
CCUACGGGUGGCAGCAGUAGGGAAUCUUUCACAAUGGGCGAAAGCCUGAUGGAGCAACGCCGCGCGCAGGAUGAAGGCCUUCGGGUUGUAAACUGCUUUUAUAAGCGAGAAAUAUUAUGGUAACUUAUGAAUAAGGAUCGGCUACCUCCGUGCCAGCAGCCGCGGCCAUACGAAGGAUCCGAGCAUUAUCCGUAGUGACUGGGUGUAAAGAGUUGCGUAGGUGGCAUAAUAAGUAGCUAGUGGAAUCUGGUGGCUCAACCAUUCAGACUAGUAGCUAAACUGUUAAGCUCGAGACCGUUAGGGGGAACUGGAAUUUCUAGUGUAGGAGUGAAAUCCGUAGAUAU